rnacentral:rRNA from 1 species
AAGGAGGCAGCAGUAAGGAAUAUUGGACAAUGGGCGCAAGCCUGAUCCAGCCAUGCCGCGUGCAGGAUGACGGCCCUAUGGGUUGUAAACUGCUUUUGGCGGGGAAAAAACCCUCCGACGUGUCGGAGGUUGAUGGUACCCGCAGAAUAAGGAUCGGCUAACUCCGUGCCAGCAGCCGCGGUAAUACGGAGGAUCCAAGCGUUAUCCGGAUUUAUUGGGUUUAAAGGGUGCGUAGGCGGAUUAGUAAGUCAGUGGUGAAAGCCUGCAGCUCAACUGUAGAACUGCCAUUGAUACUGCUAGUCUUGAAUAUAGUUGAGGUAGGCGGAAUAUGACAUGUAGCGGUGAAAUGCUUAGAUAUGUCAUAGAACACCGAUUGCGAAGGCAGCUUGCUAAACUAUUAUUGACGCUGAGGCACGAAAGCGUGGGUAGCAAACAGGAUUAGAUACCCGGGUAGUCCU